rnacentral:tRNA from 1 species
GGAGGGAUACCGAAGUGGCCAUACCGGGCUGGUCUCGAAAACCAAGCGUCACGCAAGUGGCACGAGAGUUCGAAUCUCUCUCCCUCCGCCA